rnacentral:rRNA from 1 species
CUGACUUGAGUACUACAGGGGAGACUGGAAUUUCUGGUGUAGCGGUGGAAUGCACAGAUAUCAGGAAGAACACCGAUGGCGAAGGCAGGUCUCUGGGUAGUAACUGACGCUGAGGAGCGAAAGCAUGGGUAGCGAACAGGAUUAGAUACCCUGGUAGUCCAUGCCGUAAACGGUGGGCGCUAGGUUGGGGUUCCUUCCACGGGCUCCGCGCCGUAGCUAACGCAUUAAGCGCCCCGCCUGGGGAGUACGGCCGCAAGGCUAAAACUCAAAGAAAUUGACGGGGGCCCGCACAAGCGGCGGAGCAUGUGGAUUAAUUCGAUGCAACGCGAAGAACCUUACCUGGGCUUGACAUAUAGAGGAUCGCUACAGAGAUGUGGUUUCCCUUGUGGCUUCUAUACAGGUGGUGCAUGGUU